UAUCAAUAGGUUGCUCAGCGUUUUUAUUAAGAAAAUACCUAUAUGUCGAAACUCUUGAUUUUUCUUCUACUUGCAGGACUUGUGAUAAUUCCAACUGCCUUGGGACGUUGUAAACAUUGGAUAUGUGACAAGUUUUGUCCUAAAAAAUUAAAUUGUUGUGAAUGGAGGUGUAUUCUCGCUAGAAAACGCUCACCCGAAACUGUAAAUGAAAAGGUGGAACACAAAGGCAGCUAGUUCAUAAAACCAGCUUUACAGAAAACAAACCGAACCUUUGGGAUAUUAAACACUUGUAGAAAACUA